rnacentral:lncRNA from 1 species
AAAGCAGAAGUGAACAACAAAAAAGGUCUCUCUCAGGCUCCAUGAUGAAAACUGAAUCCCUCUGGAAAAGUGAAGAGAAUCUCUGCAAUAAAGGCACACCAGACCACCAUAGUUGGGAUCUCCAAGGGACCUGGCUCUGGCCUUGCUUUUUCCAGCCCUGA